UGGAGGUACGAUGAGCAGUUUCAGCAGCGGCUGGCAGUUCGUUCCUCGCUGUCAUGGGACCAGAUGGAUAUUGGCCUCUGGCUCGCAAUUAUGACCGGUCCAGCCCCCCAGUAAGGCUCGUUUUUGUCCUUUCUUGGGGGGGCUCCUCCUCAUCCCCAUCGGCCCCCAUCCAGAGGCCAGGCUGUUGGAAGUUUUAACGACAGUCACUGCAAGUGGGGAUCCUCGUGCCGGUUUAAGCACGAGUGCUCCGGUUGCGGUGGGGCCUAUCCUGCCUUCCGC